AAAUUUGCUAAUUAGUCUGCCUACCUGAACGUGUUUCUUCAGAACUUCUGAAAAAAUCUGGUAACAGUGAUGCCAUAUUGUGAACCUUAAGAACAACUAAAGUCUUUUUGGUCCAUAAAAAUGGCUACAGUA